rnacentral:tRNA from 1 species
CCGCCGAAUGCCGAAAAAACAUCAGGUCACAAAAAAAAUCAAUCAUAAAAGCAAAAUUGAUCGGGCAAGACCCAAAAAAUCAAAAAAGGGCAAAGCUCAAAAAAUGAGCAAAACUCAAAAGGGAAAAAACCCGGGAGAUUUUUUACAAAAAGGGCUUGUAGAUCAGCUGGAAGAUCGCCGCCUUUGCGAGGCGGAGGCCUGGGGUUCAAAUCCCCACAAGUCCAUUUUUAUAUUGAUUCUCAGUGCGUUUUCAUAACGCGAGGCGCAACUCCUCAAAAAGAAUUUACAAUGCACUCCGCAAUUUUUUGCGGGGGAAGGACGGAUAAAUCCGCGUGCCAGCGCGGUAUUUGCGUGAUGUCAUAUAAAGGUUGAAGAAGACAAACAACAACAAUCAACAAGUUGGACAGAUAUAUCAGACGCUGACUGAAAAAUCGGUUACGCGAAU